rnacentral:rRNA from 1 species
CGAAAGAUGGUGAACUAUGCCUGGCCAGGAUGAAGUCAGAGGAAACUCUGAUGGAGGUCCGCAGCGAUUCUGACGUGCAAAUCGAUCGUCAGAGCUGCGCAUAGGGGCGAAAGACUAAUCGAACUAUCUAGUAGCUGGUUCCCUCUGAAGUUUCCCUCAGGAUAGCUGGCACUCGAUACAAAAUGAUUUGUAUCCGGUAAAGCGAAUGAUUAGAGGUUUUGGGGACGCAAAGUCCUCAACCUAUUCUCAAACUUUAAAUGGAUAUAGUGGUCAAGCUUGCUUUAAGAGAUACUGAUGAUGAAGCCUUGAACCCAAAAUCAAUGAGUGCUUAGUGGGCCAAUUUU